UGUGUGUGUGUGACCGUCCUUCAUCACAUCGUGUGUCUGAAUCUGCAGGAUCUAGUGUUUAGGGAGUUUUCACAGCUGGAGCGUCUUAAAUGUUUUUUUCACAACCUGUUAACAUUCAAUACAAAAAAAAAAAAUCUUACUUAGAUUUCUGUAUUUCGUUUGUGUCCUUUCCUGAACAAAGAUUUAAACAUUCUUAAAACGAUACAUUUAAAUAACAGAAGAUUAAUUCUUAUUUUCUGAAACUGAUCAAAAUGAAAAAAAUCCGUCCAUGGGGGGUCAGAAAAAUAAACUUCAUUCAAAGGCAAAACAAGGUUCACUGGAUGUCCAUCAAUCAGACAUGUCUGUGUGUUUCUUCACAAUCUACUUAGAGGAGCCGGAUAGUUCAGGACACAGUUAUGGACCUGUCAGCAGAGGCGUGAGAACACACACACACACUCAGCAGUUUAUCAGAAAUCACAAGUGGGUGACACACACUCACUGGUGUGUGCUGAUGAUCUUUCUCUCACACGCUUCUUAUCACUUCCUAUCUCUGGUGACAUAUAAAUUCCAGAAGCAUCAGAUGAUGUUGAUCUAAUGUCACAAACAGCUUUAAAAUGCUGAUUUAUAUUGAAAAAAUACAUUCAACUUCAAAACAUCUGCUGACAUCUGUGUGUGUGUGCAGCUGAUCUUGGCUCUGCAGGGGGUGGACAGAGUCAUCAGUCAGCUGAUGAACAUCCUCAGACAACUCAACUUUCAUCGUCGCCGGUCAUGCUAAAACACACACUCCUCAGCUGUGAGGAAACACUGUGUGCAAGUGUGAUGUGUGUGUCUGGUGUGUGCAUGCAGGUAUGGAGGGGACCAGCUGCAGGCGUAAACAGGCUCUUCAGGAUUUUAUAGGUGAUGUCAGUCAUCUGUACAUCAAAGAAGGGCCGUAUGGACGAAUCAGAGCAAAACACACAACACACACCUGUAAGACAAACACACACACAGUUAAGAUGAGCCCUAGUGAGUGACGUGUCAGUAACCUGUGUGUGUGUGUGUGUGUGUGUGUGUUUGACAGUGGACGCAGUGACGUAAUGUUUUGACAGUGGACGCAGUGACAUAAUGAAAACACACUGCAUACUCUCCAAAUACUAUCAACAACAUUAUAGCAUUUCAGUAUAGCGUGUCAGUAAGAUUAGCAGUGCUUUGUGUGUGUUACAUGUGUGCCAUGUUUCGUGUGCAGUGCUUUGUGUGUUACAUGUGUUUUAUGUGUGUUGUGUUUUCUGUGUGUUUCAUGUGUGUUUUGUGUGUUAAGUGUGUGUUACAUGUCCAGUAUUACAUAUGCAUUAUGUGUGCAGUGUUCCGUGUGUUUUCGGUUUGUUUUGUGUUACAUGUGCAGUUACUUGUGCGUUAUGUGUGCAGUGUUUCAUGUGUGUUUCGUUUGUAGUGUUUUGUGUUUGUUACGUGAAUAUGAUAAUGACGUCUACAGCAUGCAGGUGAGUGUGUGUGUAUGUGUGUGUGUGUUUGUGUGUGUGUGUGUGUGUGUGUGUGUGUGCAUGUGAGUUCCUGCAGGUGUGUGUGUCUGUGUUUUUGAACAAAUUAAUAAAAGAGAGCUAAUGCAUCUGCGAACCUAGAAAACAUGAUAUGAGAUGAGAUUAUUUUUAGAGCACAACAGAAGCUAAUCUAAAGUGCUUUACAGUAGAAAAUACAGUAGCAUUCUAAAGAAAAUACAGAAAGAAAAACACAGCACAUCCAACACACAUCUAAGCUGUUCAUCUGCUUCUCUCUCUUCUCUCACGGGACUCACGGGACUGAACCAUGUGCUGCAGACGCCCAUCUAUAACCCAAUCACCCGACAGAGUAGAGCGGCCCAGAGCAGUGCCCAAUCACCAGCCUGGAGCCCACACUCACUCUCAACCACACACACACUCACUCAUUUAUACUCAUAUACACUCACACACUCUCGCUCAAUCAGCCGUGGCCAAAUACAUAGAGAGUCGGACUUGUAACCCGAAGGUUGUGAGUUUCGAGUCUCAGGUCCUCCAGGAAGUGUCGUGGGGGGAGUCAAUGUAGGACACUCUCUUCCACCCUCAAUACUCCUGUACACACAUUUACAUUUAGUCAGUUUGCAAUUGGGGAAUACAUUAAGUGAUUCUUUUGAAAGAGGCAAACAGACACAGGAAGUGCUUGUAAUACCAAGUUUUAGGCAUUGUUUAAGUACAAGCUUGAAAGAGAUGGAAUACAUAAAGGGAAAUAGGGUUUGUGCGACUGUUAUGUUGGCAUACAUGCAUACACUCACUUUAAUCUUCACAUAUCCCUGCUAUAACCAUUUCAGUAAUCACAUGCACACACCAGAUAGGUUUAAUUAUUACAUCUUUUAUUUACUUAUCUGUGUAUUUGUCAGUUUGUGUCUCUGUUCGUGCUGUGAGGUUUCUUGCUUGUGGUGUCUUCCGUGUUGGAUCUGCUGCGAGUACAGCAGAUGAGAAGGGUGAAAACACUGGCGGCGGUUCAUAAAUGCUUAAGACAGGAACUUUUUAACGGGCUGAGCAUGCGCGAACCUUCCGCUGGCUGGACUGUUCUAUGUGGUUAUGUUUGGGGAAGAGGAACGGGGAAAAAUUACCUUGAUUUAUGUCUUAACUGGUUACCAUCGAGGAUAAUGCAUGCAUAUUUUGAAUCAAGACUUGUAUACCCAUGACAAAUGUGUGUAUAAUUAACUUACCUUUUUGUAGAAGGUUGAAAAAGUGCUCCUUAUCUUGUACUUACCUUCAAAUGGUUACUCUCUUUUCUCUCUGUGCUAUAAAAGGGUUGAUUUAUCUCUCACUGAGGAGGGGGAAGUUGAGGAGGACAGUUGGUAGUGCAAGCCAUGCAUGUUGAAAUCCGUUUUUGUGGAAGGUAGCUCAGCGAAGCGCUGGUUGUAAAUAUUUUGUAACAUUUUUGUAUUUUGGGACUGUGGACACUGGAAAUAAAUGACCUUGCACUGUUGUGCAAUUGUGGCUGCACCAUAAUUCCUGUGUUUUUCAAACCUGCCUCCUCACAGAAAGAAACAGUGAUACCUGUUUGAAAACAACUCUUUCGAGGGUUUUCGCUAUGAAUGGAAGGAGAGAGACAGAGUGGAAGUGACAUCAAUGUGUGUCUGAAUCUCACUGAUGCUGAAGUGGCAGAGAGUGAGACACGUGUUGUUCUGGCGUACGUGGGUUCUGCAAUCUGAUAUUGAAUACUGUAUCCUGCAUCAUCAACACGGAUUCAUCAUGGCCUACAGCACACGCACGCACA
ensembl:lncRNA